CAAUACUGUCUGGCUGAGUCCAGAGUUAUCUGCCUCCGCACUCUGCUCUGUUGCAGUUUCAUUUCUGUUCCUUCCUUCCAGUCUACCACUCCUAUGGAAAUGGUUCCCUUUUGAGGUUACAUCAAUACCACAUAAUUGAUGACUCUUCGAGAGACCCAGAGAUGAGCUGGGAGCAACUUGUGUGGAAUCCUGAGUCUUAGUCAGUCUAACACUGGAAACUGUUCUUGUAAGCAAGAGCUAGAUACAAGCUUGUGGAACGAAGGAUACAGAGGUGGCUCAGAGAGCAUCUCUUGGGAACUGUUGCGAGCAUUUACUAGUGACUCGAGGAUGGUGCGGAGAAACAAGAAAGACAUUUAGAGACGGGAAAGUCAUGGAAACAAAAGCAACACAGAGUGUCUGGGAGAGGCUGGGAAACAGACGCAAGACUUAGAAGAGGGGUGGGGGAGAGAAGAAAGAAAACGGAAAUACGGUCCUAUGGAUUCCGAAAAGACUAUAAAAAACAGAAAAUACAUGAGUGGCUGCUGAGCCUGGAGGAAGACUGCAAUGGGGAGGAAGGACUCCUAAGGAUAAGAAUAAGAUUUCUUUGGGGGAUGAUGACAAUGUUCUAAAAUUACAAAGUAUUGAUGGACAAGAUCAGGAUGUAAAGCUCUCAGCUACUUCUCCAGCACCAUACCUAUCUGCCUGUCAACACAUUUCCUGCCAAGAUGAUAAUGGACUAACCCUCUAAAGCUGUAAACAAGCCCCCAAUUAAAUGCUUUCUUCUAUAAGUUGCCUUGGUCAUGGUGUCUCUUUAUGGCAAUAGAACAGUAACUAAGGCUUCUGGGAGGGACAGACCCAUUGUCGAUCAAAUAGUGUGGCUGAGAACAGGGUAGAGUUAGUAGCUAAACACAGGGUAGAAGAAAAGGAAAUUGUCCACGAUGCUGAAUUGCCC
rnacentral:lncRNA from 1 species